UUGAUACAAUGAUGACAGCAUAGUUCAGCUGAUACUCUAUGAUGAAUAUUCAGCAUUGUCUUUCGCUCCUAUCUGAUGUAUCCU
ensembl:snoRNA